CGUGGAGACAGGUGGUGCAUGGCUGUCGUCAGCUCGUGUCGUGAGAUGUUGAGUUAAGUCCCGCAACGAGCGCAACCCUCACCCCUAGUUGCCACCGGGUUAAGCCGAGCACUCAAGGGGAACUGCCAGCGUCAAGCUGGAGGAAGGCGGGGAUGACGUCAAGUCAUCAUGCCCCUUACGCCCUGGGCUACACACGUGCUACAAUGGCCAGUACAAAGGGAACGCGAGACUGCGAAGUGGAGCUAAUCCCAAAAAGCUGGUCUAAGUUCAGAUUGCAGUCUGCAACUCGACUGUAUGAAGGAGGAAUCGCUAGUAAUCGCGUAUCAGCCCGGCGCGGUGAAUACGUUCCCGGGCCUUGUACACACCGCCCGUCACACCACGAAAGCUGUCUGUACUCGAAGUCGCUGAG
rnacentral:rRNA from 1 species